GUUUUUAAUGCUUCAUCGCGAUUAGAAGAGUAUAUUUUAUCAGAGGAUUCAUAUGGAUAAUAAAUUAAAUGCUCAGAUGCUCUUUUUUCUCUAGUAAAUUUUUGGAAGAAUUCAACAAGCUCACUUCUAACAUCGCAAAGUUUCUUUCCAUUACAAAAAAAUGAGCUAAUCAAUAUAAGUGGGUUACAUCCUUUCCAGUCAAUAAUAUCUUUGUAUUUUAAGUUAAAUCUAUUUACUUGAGUUUUUAUCGAAUCAGGGCAAAUUACAUAAACUUUGUCAUAUCUUAUUAUUUCCAAAACCUUUGCAACUUUUUUAGUAAUCAGUUUUUGGCAAACCUUCAAAAUAUUUGAUGGUUGUUCUAAAAGUUCAACUGAAAUAUCCCUGAUGGAUAAGUGUGGGUCUGCAAUAUUCGAAAUUUCGUUUAUAAGUUCAUUUUCUUUAUAUAUAUUAGAAAGUUUAGACUUAUCAAUAUAAAAAGUUAAUUUAUCAUAUAAACUCUCUACAGGGUUUUGGAGGCAAUUAUUAUCGAUUGAAGAAAAAAAAUGGUGUGGUUUUGAUGGCGUUACUGUAAAAUCAUUGCAAUCAAUUUUUAAUCUCGUAAAAUAUUUAAUAAGCUUUUUCGAAAGCCUAUUGUUUUUCUCAACUAUAGAAAAGAUAUGCUCCUGCAAAUUACUUCUUUCAGACCCACUUAAGUUAAUAUGUUCACUUCCAAUCGACGCACCACCUUUAUUAUUCUGGAAACUCUUAUAUAAAUUCUUCAAAUACUCGAACGAAGUUUCAUUGGACCUCAAAAUUUCUACAGAAAUAAAGUUAUUGGCAAUUUCACAUGAUAAAAGAGUACUUGUAAUUCUAAAUAGCUUUUCUUCUAUGAAUUCAUAGUUUAUCAAAGUUGAUGCAAUAAAUACUAAUGUUACGGAGAAACUUUCGAUAAAUUUAUCCAACUCGAGAUUUCUAUUAUCUAUAUUAAUCUUUUUUUGAUUAUUAUUAAAUAAGGCUUGAUUUAAGGAUUUUGUAUGGAUUGUUGAACUUGGGAAGAAAACAAAUCUAUGCUGAAAAUCUUUGGACUCAAUGACUAAAUCGGACAUUUUGUUCCAUAAUGCUGAGUCAGAUGGUAGAAUCAAAGGUGCAAGUUUAGAGCAUUCAUGUCCAAAGCAUUCCUUGGUUUGAAUAACAUUUUUCUCAUUUAAUAUAGAAAAGGAGCUCGGGGGAUGGUAAAAUAUAAUCUCAGGUUCUUGAUAUGGCCAUUUGACAGUUAAAAUGAUUCCUACUAAGUCAAAACCGCACAUUUAAAAAUUUUGAUAAUUCAAUUAUAUUCAGAUUUGCAAAAUGCCCAAGAAAAUAAUAAAGUAUUAAUAAUACUUGAACAGUAGCUUAUUUGUCGCCCAGUCUUACUAUAAGUAGUAAUGUAAACUGAAGUUAGAACUUAGAUAUUCUUCAAUCAUUGUAUUCAUAAAUUUAAACAAAUAACGCUAGUUCUGGCUUAAAAUUAUACCGCUUUGGUUAUAAAUCUUAAUGGCAUUUAAAUUAUUACCAAAUUUUAGGUGUUACCAAAAUUCAGAAAGAUUAAUUAAUACAGUUCUGUAGACAAGAAAGUAAAAAUUAUAGUAAUAUAUAUAUUAAAAUUUUUUUUUUGUUAUAAAAUAAUUUAACAUUCAUGUGUUUGUGGAAAAGAAAAUAUGGUUGAAAGCAGUGACUUCCCACAGAUAUUAGACCAAUUCCCUUUAUAUGAACAUGAAGGAACGAAGACGAAAAUUAUUGGAUUAAUAUUUUCAAACAAAAUUCAAUUUGUCUUGAGCGAAGCGGAAACCUUCGGAUCAGUCUUACAUGCAUCUACAGAUCAAGCAGGUAUGAUUUACGACGUCGAAGUUCUUUUAGGUGAUAGAAACGAUGAGAUAUCACGGUUAUAUGCAAGGAGAUUACUGGAGCUAUUUCGAAGUAAGGGGUAUACUAAAAGUAGCCUAUUGUUGCUCACUUCUAUUAGAAAGCACUCUAUUGAACAUUUGAGAGGCGUUUUAAAGCAUAUUGAUGACAAUAUCAUUUAGUAUCGAAUGGAGGUAUUUGCCUACGGCAUGUUGGACAUUCUAGCUUAACGCUCAUCCAUUGUUUAAGGCAUUUUUGGUGGAAUAUAUGAUCACAGGGAGUGCAAACUGCGCACAAUUCGUGAUCAAAGUCCUUAAAUAUAGAAACAUUCACCAUACAAAUCACACAGAGCUUAUUUGUAUGCGUUCUAUCGUUGAAAUUGGUUAAUUCAAUUUCUUCAAGUCCUGAUGGUUCAGUAUGUGAAAUAUUAUCCUGAACAAAGUUAACCUUAGAUCCAUUUAACGAUUCAGAAUUUAAUUCUCCAUCAAUAGGAAUAUUAACCUCUCGUGUAUCCUCAUUUGAAGCUCCAUUGUAGAUGUCUUUACUUGUUAAUCUGAAAUAAUUAUACGGUCUUGGCCUGAAUAUCUUCGGAAUUAAACACUUUGGUCCAAAUUUUAAUUGCACAAAAUAAAUUAUCAUUUGUAUUGAAGUAAUUAAAAAUAUGAAAAUAGAUAGUAAUGAAGAGUUCUUUGUUGAGAUAGGCGUAAUAUUCAAAUACUGGAAUACUGGAGCAUUGAAUAUCGAAUUAGAAUAUCCCCAAACGUAAAUAGGAACGAAUGCCUUGCCAAUUAAAGAUGUAAGUAUAAAAUAUGGGUGGAGCGGUAGAGUUGAAUUCAAAUGAAUAGUAUUAGCAAGUAGGUCAUUUAGAAUUUGAGGAAUGAGAAAUAAAAAUAGUGAUACAUAAAUACAAUAUGGCACGGAUUGAAUGAUUAUUAUAUUUCUCUCACUUAGACUCUUUGCAAAAGUGCUAAAUACUAUACUUGAAUUGCAUAUUCCGAAUAGAAGUAUAAAGAAAAGCACUAUUCCAAAUAGAAAUACAUAGAGCCUUCUAUAAAAUUGUGUUGUAAUGAUAGGUAUUUCAGUUGAAGGAGCAUUUUGUAAAUAAUUUGACUUCCAAAUCCAAAAUAAAUACUUUAUUUCUAUGUAAAAAAUGUGGAUCCAUUUAAAAAGUAUCAUAAGUGAAAACGAAGAAAACAGUAGUGAAGGUAGAGCAAAUGAGCAAUAUAAAAUAAAUACACAUUCCAGUAUAUCUAAUAUAAUCUGCAUAAAUAAACAAGAAAUAGAUGUAUUACUGACGAAGCUUGCCCCAAUAACUGGUGAAUUACUGUGUACAAGCUGUAUUACGCUUCCUCUAAUUUCCAUAAGUACCUUUAAAUUAUAUAUGAAUGAGAAGUGGAUAAUAUUUAGUCUGAACAAACUCAUUGAGAAUGGCUCACCUUUCAAAAGUACAUUGAAGUUGCAAUCCAGAG
rnacentral:antisense_RNA from 1 species